UACGUAGGGUGCGAGCGUUAAUCGGAAUUACUGGGCGUAAAGUGUGCGCAGGCGGCCGCGCAAGUCGAGUGUGAAAGCCCCGGGCUUAACUUGGGAAUUGCGCUCGAAACUACGUGGCUGGAGUGUGGCAGAGGAAGGUGGAAUUCCAGGUGUAGCGGUGAAAUGCGUAGAGAUCUGGAGGAACACCGAUGGCGAAGGCAGCCUUCUGGGCCAACACUGACUCUCAUGCACGAAAGCGUGGGGAGCAAACAGG
rnacentral:rRNA from 1 species